rnacentral:snoRNA from 1 species
GCGGCUGACAGGUCAUCCUGCUCCGGCGAAGUCGGUCGCUUCCAUGUAGAAAUUUGACUCCUGACGC